GGGGAGAUUGAACCGGGACAGACCAACGACAAGAAACAAAUUAGGAAACAUACCCUUAGUUCACGGGAAACACCCGCUUCCUGUUGAGUCUUGGAACACAGAUGCUCCACGGGAGUAUGGUGGUACAGACUAGAUAAGUUAGCUGCUAAGAUAGGGGAGAGCUUCAGAUGGGACUUCUGUAAGAAAUGAGACAUCAUGUCAAUGAGCCAGCAGUGAGGACUACAUUUCACAUACAAGUCGAAAUGCCACUGGAAUCCUCUGUGAACAACUUUUCUGUAACGGUCA
rnacentral:sRNA from 1 species